rnacentral:rRNA from 1 species
GAUGAACGCUGGCGGCGUGCCUAAUACAUGCAAGUCGAGCGAACAGACGAGGAGCUUGCUCCUUUGACGUUAGCGGCGGACGGGUGAGUAACACGUAGGUAACCUACCUAUAAGACUGGGAUAACUUCGGGAAACCGGAGCUAAUACCGGAUAAUAUUUCGAACCGCAUGGUUCGAUAGUGAAAGAUGGCUUUGCUAUCACUUAUAGAUGGACCUGCGCCGUAUUAGCUAGUUGGUAAGGUAACGGCUUACCAAGGCAACGAUACGUAGCCGACCUGAGAGGGAGAUCGGCCACACUGGAACUGAGACACGGUCCAGACUCCUACGGGAGGCAGCAGUAGGGAAUCUUCCGCAAUGGGCGAAAGCCUAACGGAGCAACGCCGCGUGAGUGAUGAAGGUCUUCGGAUCGUAAAACUCUGUUAUUAGGGAAGAACAAACGUGUAAGUAACUGUGCACGUCUUGACGGUACCUAAUCAGAAAGCCACGGCUAACUACGUG